rnacentral:rRNA from 1 species
AUGUCCUCCUCCCACCGCUCGCAUCUCACAUGUCGGCCGACCGCCGACACAGCAACGUCCGCUCGUCGGCCAGGCUCGGCCCUCGCCCAACAGCUCGUCGGUGAGCCUUUGCCGAUAAUCAAGUGUGACCACUGCUGGCGGCUCGUGGUGCGCCAUGUUUCGAGCAUGCCGAAACAUCCCAGAUGGGUUUACUUCAAGUGCGAAAAGGACGGGGACGGAUGCAAAUUUUGGUAUUGGGAAGAAGAAUAUAUUGAUCUAUUGAUAGCAAGAAAUUUGCUUGAUGUUGGUGCAUUAGUUGCUAGAGAUGAAGCUAGAGAGGAUGCAAUGUUCAAGUUUGAAGAGGAAGAGAAGAAAGAAGUGUGCAAGCUGAAGCCGGUAGGGAAAAGAAACAAUGUAGUCAAUCAAGAGAUGGAGAAAGCAUUGAUUGGAUUAACAGGAGCAGUUAAGGAAGUAGUGUUUCUAUUAAAAUGUGUAUUUUUUCUUGUAGUUUUCUUUGGAUUGGUUCUCUUAGUGAAGAAUUGGUGGAGUAUGUAA